UACGUAGGGUGCGAGCGUUGUCCGGAAUUAUUGGGCGUAAAGAGCUUGUAGGCGGUUUGUCGCGUCUGCUGUGAAAAUCCGGGGCUCAACCCCGGACUUGCAGUGGGUACGGGCAGACUAGAGUGUGGUAGGGGAGACUGGAAUUCCUGGUGUAGCGGUGAAAUGCGCAGAUAUCAGGAGGAACACCAAUGGCGAAGGCAGGUCUCUGGGCAGUUACUGACGCUGAGGAGCCAAAGCAUGGGUAGCGAACAGGAUUAGAUA
rnacentral:rRNA from 1 species